rnacentral:SRP_RNA from 1 species
GGAGGCUGGCGACGGGCGCGUCCUUCGCCAAUCGGGUCAGGUCCGGAAGGAAGCAGCCCCAACGAAUUCGGCGCGGGUCGUCGUCCAGUCUCCUUCU